rnacentral:misc_RNA from 1 species
GGUCGGAGUUCAGUCUUCCCGGGCCCACCAUUUGCAUUUGUAAAUGUCGGUUUACGGGUUUGCCUGAUCCUGGCGGCUUUGUCUGUCGGGUGUUGCGAUGGUUGGGGCUGUAGCUCAGCUGGGAGAGCACCUGCUUUGCAAGCAGGGGGUCAGCGGUUCGAUCCCGCUCAGCUCCACCAAAUCGCAUUUGGUGUCGAGCGAGCCGAGAUAUCCUUCUGAAGAAGUAAAAGUUUGCACGACGCGAAACGCGUUUGUGCCUGUUCUGCAAAAAUCGUGAAGAGAAGAUUGAUCUGGAGGCUUCCAGGUGUCGGGGUUUUGGCCCUGAUGUCCGAGCCCUUUCCCGGUGAACCUUUCGAGGGUCUAGCCGACCCGAGACUGGUGAGGGAUUGGAGGUAGGAAGGAAGCUUGUCGCUCUGGGUCGUUUGUUGUUGGCAUCUUCGGAUGCUUCCGGCGGAUGACCUGAUGGCCGUUGCCUGACCGCGCGGUCCCGGAUUUGAUCUCGAGAAGCUGGUCUUAAGAUAGACUGCAAGCGAGCUGCUCGGCGUAGCUCCAAUAAAGCAGGUCUAUCGAACACGUCGAUGGCAUCAUUGAGUGGAUCGGGUUGUAAAAGGUAGCCCGGUCGCUUCCGUCUUUGGACGGCGGCUAGAUGAUGAGCAUUGGCAAUGAGAACGAUCAAGUGUCGUAAGGGCAUUUGGUGGAUGCCUUGGCAUGCACAGGCGAAGAAGGACGUGAUACGCUGCGAUAAGCCGUGGGGAGCUGCGAAUGAGCUUUGAUCCAUGGAUCUCC